AAAACAGGUUCAAAGGCUUUUGAACAUUCUUGGCAGGCAUUGGAUAAUAUGUGUAAAUACAGUGGGCUUAAGGAAGCAGACUGCAAUUUAUUUUGACCCACAUUCUUUCUGUAAAGGAUAAUUGUUGUCUGAAGACAUUAUUUGCUGGAAAAGUGAAUGUAUGUAACAGGAAAAAAUGUUAGUACUGUGGCGUCAAUUGCACUGCGGACUAAACUAGUUUUAGUGUACACGAUCGGGACUACCACUUUAGUUACUGGUUUAGGAAUAUACUUUUCUAUUGCUAUGUAAAUUUGCUUUGAAACACACAUGCCUUAUUAGAGAGGAUUAAAAAUAUCUAGUAAAACAUAUUUCUGAUUUUCUGUUAACACUUUUUUUUUUUACUAUCUCUAAUGGCUAAAGUUUUUGUUGGCCGAGUCAUAACACCUCUUUCCCUGUUUUCCUGUAGAAAUUCUGAGUUAUGGUAAUGACCUUUUUACUUGAGAAUAAGAGGAACAAAAGAAUCCAAACUUCACAGUGCAGAAAAGUCUGGAUCACUUUUCAAAUUACCCCAAAUUUUCCCUUUCGUUUUGUUCUUAGGGAAGCGAGGUUGAGGCUGCCCUGACCUGACAUGUCAUGAUGUCGACUUGCUAGGUGGGGUUCGCUGGGGACGAUAACCAGUGGAAUUGUUGGUAAGAACUUUUUUUUUCCUAUUUUUUUUUUUCCUGAUCAGUAGUGGGACAUUAAGUGGGAGAAUGCCCAUAUCCUAUAAGUGGGCAUUUAUGUUGGCCUUAUAGAAAAAUAAGACUUUAAUUCUGUUUUAGGAACAUAUAAUAAGUGCUUGCUCUUUAUUCUCAGAUUGGUAGAUGAGCAGGAAAGGCCUACAAGUAUGAAGUAAUGAAAUACUCAGGGUAUAUUUUAUGUGACCAGGAUAGACAAUUUGCAAGAUAGACUGAAUAAUGUCUCUUGGAGAGACAGUAAAUUUGCCUAUUUUACUGUGAUUUCAAUCCCUCUAGUAUCCUCAUUAUAUUUACAUUUUAUUUGGGUAUAUUAACCUAUAAUGCAUCUUAAGAAGUGUUUACUGCACACUAACAUUAGUAAAAAUAGGAAGGUGUUGAGAGAACGUAGGGUUUAAAUAUUAGGAGAAAUAUUUUUUUAAAUUUCCAAAAGCAAUCUGUUUUUAACAUUGUAAAAUGAACCUUAAAAGUCUUAUCGAUUUGAAAAAUAGUUGAUUCAGUAUAAAGAUCCACUUGAUACGAUGUAACAUGGGGCAAGAGGGAAAUACAUAGGUGAAAUAUCAGGACCUUGAACAUAGCGGAACACAAUUUAAUCACCAACUCGUGUUUCAUCUGAAACCCAGGACAGCUGAUGGGAUUAGUAGACACUGGUAGAAUUGAGCCAAUUUUUAGAUUAUUUCUAAAGAUUAAAAUCUUUCAAACUCAGUAGGGGAUUCCAUGAUGGUAAAGUAUAAAUUGAGGAAAUUAAAUUUAAUCACUAGGCAUUUCUUACCCCAUACCAUAUAAAAAUAGAACAUAAGCACUGAUUAAAAGUAGUUUUGGAUUUUCAUGUCUGAAGAACCUCAGUAUUCUUACGCUUUCUCUGUUGGUUGGGUGUACCAGUCCAGGCAGAAUCCCCUCCGCAGGUGUUAGACACUAAUGGGUGUUAUGAAUGUAAACCCUUGUCUGUAAGCUUGCUGUAGAGUAGCUGAACAUCACUGCGGUGAAAUACUUUAAGAAUUUUAGUGAUUGUGUCAUUAUGUUAAGGUGCUUGUUCUCUUUUGACACGUUUUAAGCAUGUAUUAGUAAUAGAAAAGAUCAAAGUAUAGAACUGAAAAGAUUGCACUUAAUGAUGUGCUCCUUGGGAAGUUGUAUAGUAAGUAGUAGGAAAACUCUGUCGUUCUGGGCAGUUGAUACAAGUUAAGGAAAGUGAAGUGCUCAUUUGUUGGGCUUUUAUACACUAACAAUAAAAUACAUUUCAUGGGGCCAGAAAAGAAGGAGGCAUUGUGGGAGAAUACUUAAACAUUCCUUAAAUAAAUAAGGGCUUUCAUUUUGUGUAGUAAUUUUGUCAGGUUCCCAUGAACAUUGCUUAUCUUGAUUUCUCAUAUAUGCUGCUUAGACAGAAGGGACUUCUAUAGUCUGUUCAAUAACAUAGGUAGAAAUAUACUUGAUGACUCCUAUUACGAUGUUUCGUACUACGUUACAAAGCUAUUUCUCUAAUUGAUCUGAAAGCUUCUGCAAACCAUUACAUUGCUGAUAUGCAUACAGUAACGUCAGAAUAUUAAAAUAGGGAUAUUUGCAAGACCAUUUAAAUCAGCAGUUUAAUAAAAAUCGUGCUUUUGGUACAGCGUUCAGGUACUAUAACUGUAUUGGAAUAUUUGUAUAAUGUUAAAUAUUUUAAUAAAAUUUACAUGUUCAAAAUGUUGUGUUGGUGAUUUUGGGUGGGUGUGAUGGGUUCAUUUGUACAAAUCAGAUUCAGUAGCUCUGUAGUUGAGACUUCUGUUGUCAAAUGGAGUCCUGUCCUCAAAUUCAGUACUUGAUUGGGCACCUGUUCAAGGGAAGGUAGUAAAACAGUAGUGAUGAUAAAAAAUAAAAGGACCAGAACUCAAGGAGGUUUAUUAAAGUGUCAGGAAGUAGCUUUACUGGAGUUUAGAGCUGGGUCACAGAUAAGGGUGUGGCUUUGGCAUAACAGGCUGCUGAUAGUUUUUUUCUGAUGAAAUUUUGGCAUAUUUACAUUAGAAAUGCUCCUGGGAAAACAUACAAAGGUGGGGCAAAGGGGAAACACUUGUGUGAUGCUUUCAGUAGGCAUUUUAUUGCCCCAGUGUCUUCGACCAGUUGACAUGACAUGCCUGUAAGUGUAGAAGUGAUGGAGGAAUAGUUGAGGAAAGCUUGUGUCAGGUGCACCAUCAGAUAAUAGCUUCAGUGUACAAGAACUACUUAUAUGGAGAGCCCCCUCUUUGUUCCUGACAGUAAACUUGAAAGGUUUCUCUCUUCAUACGGAUCCUGUUCUCUUAACAUAACCCUAAUACAGUAGAUUUUCUUCUGACUUCUUUUCCUUGGGGUGUUCUCAGUUUCUUUAGUCAAAAGCAUAGAAAUCCUGUGACUCAGAAUGGAAAUUUUACUUGAAGUAAUGUGCUCAUUCCUCUGCAGACUGUACCAUUAAUAACAAAGAUUAAGGAGGUAAGUAACAGGGACCCUAAUGAUUGUAAACACAUGAUGAAACUCUUCAUAAGGAGUAGUAACAUAGUCUGCCUUACCUUUCUCUCUCUCUCUCUCUUUAAAAA